ensembl:lncRNA
AGGCUAGCAUUUUAGGUCUUUUUAAACCUCCUUUGGUUUUAGUGUAUUAGCAGUUGGAACUUUAUAGUCACUUGAGGCUCUCAGUGAAAAUAUUCCUCUGACUGCGGUGCUCCUGAAAGCCCAGUGGAAUUACAUUGGAGAUAAAUUCCCUCUGAAGUGCUUAUAGGUUUCAUCCGGAUUGUUGCGCACAACCUUCAUGCUAGGGUUACACACACAUCACACAAUACUAUUCUCCAUUGUGUGUAAUUAACUUAAGGCCAUUAUUACUAAUGUAAGGCCAUUAUUUUGAGGAAUGUGCUAACGAUCAGCUUUGGAGCUGUAUAAUGUAAAACAUCAAAAAGCUCACUCUGUAAAAAUUACCACAUCUCAGCUCAAAGUAGGCUGAAAGGCUACACUAUGUCAAAUACAACUGCCUCUGUGCGUUAACAGAGUCAAAUUGUAGUAUCAUUAUACAGUUAUUCAGACUCGGCAGUUUUGUUUUGCAUCACUAAUGCCCUUCUUCUGAAUGCAGCCACUCUGGAUCUGUAUUCUGAAGUUAGCUACAAAUAAUGUUUUCUUCACCAGAGGUAGAUUGGUACUUGAGAAUUAAAGCAUUUUUGCUCAUUUAUAAGAUUGCAAGCAACAAGGAAAACAAAACAAAACAAAACUCUGAAAGAAUGUGAAAAAGAAAACAAAAGCACAAUUUUUGCUUGGGCAGCAGUAGGCUACUCGGGUCACUGCAGCUCCUCAGAAGAAACCACAGCAAGAGCAGAGUAACCUGGGGAGUAACUGCACAAAGCAAAGAGCACCCUGGAUUUGAAGGCUGGAACUAAGCAGGAAAGCAAGCAAGAAAUCUGGUAUUUUUGGAAUGGACAGCUGACAUGCCACCUUAAAAAAAUAAAUAAAAAAUCCAACACCCUUCUGCUGCACUCACAGGACAGGUGGCUGGACAACUGCCAGCAACAAAGGUACAAGCCACACCAACAGGAAGGGCUCAGUAUUUCUAGGCUCUGCACCAUGCUGGUGCACAUAGCUACAUGGCCUGUGGAAUGGAGCCCGCUUGUCUUCCUGCCUUGGCACAAGUGUCUGCUUGCAGAAGAGAAGAGCAAGUGCAUGUCUGUGAUUAACAGCUUUGGCAGACAAGGACAGCUGUGAAACUGGACCAACGUUGUCACCUAGUGGCUGCUGAGAAGCAAGACGUUUUCCUUGAAGCUCAUCACCCUCUCAUGUCAAGAUCUCAGUAAUGGGAUGUGAUGGAGUGAUUUUCCAAACAAGGAACCAAUUGCAGUUAGCUCUUUCUAGUCUUAAUGCAGGCUUUCUGCCAGGAGGUGCCAGAUGUUACAGAACAUGAACGGUUUUCUCUUGACAGACAGAAACCUGAAGAUACCAUACUUUUGGACAUUGGGCAAUACAACCUCCAUUUAUUUUCCUCACCGUGAUUAACACUUUUUAGACCUGCCUGAAGUUUUCUGUUACUACAACUCUCAAAGACACAGCUCAAUCUUCAUAUUAAAACCAAACACGUUUUCUUUCUUCUGAUCUCCUAAAGUCUUGGAGAACUUUAAUGUAAAUGAUGAUUUGAGUGGCACUGUAACUUUGGCACUGUAACAUCACUCUAUUAAAGUACAACAAAAUAAAGAAGAAAAUGUAAAUUAAGUAAAUAAACCA